rnacentral:rRNA from 1 species
UACGAAGGGGGCUAGCGUUGCUCGGAAUCACUGGGCGUAAAGGGUGCGUAGGCGGGUUUUAAGUCAGAGGUGAAAUCCUGGAGCUCAACUCCAGAACUGCCUUUGAUACUGAAAGUCUUGAGUAUGGGAGAGGUGAGUGGAACUGCGAGUGUAGAGGUGAAAUUCGUAGAUAUUCGCAAGAACACCAGUGGCGAAGGCGGCUCACUGGCCCAUUACUGACGCUGAGGCACGAAAGCGUGGGGAGCAAACAGGG